UGUACCACAAUUUAUCCAUUCACCUGCUGAAGUGCAUCUUGAUUGCAUCCAAGUUUUGGCAAUUAUGAAUAAAGCUAGGAUAAGCAUUCAUGUACCGGUUCUUGUGUGGACAUAAGUUCUUAACUCAUUUGGAUAACUAUCAAGGAGCAAGAUUGCUGGAUCAUAUGGUAAGAGUAUGUUGAGUUUUAUAAGAAACCACCAAACUGUCUUUCAGACUGGCUGUACCAUUUUGCAUUCCUACCAGCAAUGAAUGGGAACUCCUCUUGCCCCCAUACCCUCACCAGUAUUCAGUGCUGUCAGUGUUCUGGAUUUUGGCCAUUCUAAUAGGGACAAAAACCUGAAUGAGACACCCUCUACCUAGGGAGGGACUGAAAUUGAUCACAAAGUGUCUCCUCCAAGAAGCUGGAAGCUUGUUAGAACUAUUCAUGAAAAAUAAUUCUAUGAGUGUUUUCCCUUAAGGUUCCAAAGGCAACUUGGAAGGGAAAAGGGACCCUUCGAGAAAGUUCCAGGAAAAAAGCCACUCCCAAAAAGACUACCGCUUCAAGAAAACCUGAGGAAGGCAACAGGCCAACACUAUCCAGCCACUAUGACCAGCUGAAUGGGAAGCUCACUCAAAAUGAGCCACAGCAGGACCAAAUUAGCCAGGAGACCUCCACAAUCUCCAGCGUCUCCCUGGACAGCCAGUGAUUUCAAGGCAAGUUCAGAGGCCUAGAUCUAUCUGAGAGGUCUCCAGAGAUCUGGCCCCAGAGAAAUAGCCAGCAGGGUCUAGAAUACAUUCUACACCCCACAGGGUACGCCCCAUGGUGAUGAAAAUAAAAUGAAUCUGUUGUAAAAUGA